CCACAACACAGGGACAAUAGGCCUCCUCUAAAAUGCCUCUUUCACCCUGGCUUUGACCCACCAGUAACUCACUAGUUCGAUCUUCUUUGAGAAGCUGGAUGGGAGUGUGUACAGCUGCUGGGUCAGUUUAGAGGACCCAGAUGGAUGUCAGGGAUGGACCAGGCCUGAAAUACUCUCGUCCCAUUACCCAGGUCAAAUCAUUGAACAAAGUUGAUGUCUACACACGUAGUUGCUCCAGAGAGAGGAUGUCCAAAGUCACAUCUGUGAUUGGAAUCCCCAUGUAAAGUAGGAUGUAUAAUCUGAGUACUGCAGGUGUUGCCCUUGCCCUCUCCUGCCUGGACAGUCUGGGAAAGAACUAGGUGUUGGCUAGCCUGCAACCACUAUGUAAAGCAGCCCUACGGGGCAGUCUCUGCCCUCCUCUCUGGAUUCUUUAGCUUGCUGUACCUCAGUCACGCUUGCUCCAGCUUUGCUUACAGAAUACCCUGGGUCUGAACUUCAACUGUGAGGAUCCGCAGCUUUCACGGGCCUGCAGGCUCUCCUAGGACUUGGUUGGGGAUAGGGUUUUAGUUCAUAUCCCUUAGUGGCCGAGUAUCCCAUACCUCCCUUGAGACAUCUACUUGUCCUAUGAUAGGGUAGGAUCAACUCCCACCACUCCACUCUACCCCAGCAACAGGGUCCCAGCUACACACAUUUCCGGGCCACCUGCACUGGCCCUUUCUUAUUUCCCAUCCUCAGCCCAUUCCAGGUGCUUGAAGUUGGUUGCCAGGUGUUGGGAGACUUUGUGCUGUGAAGGGUGCAUGCAGACUCGUUUACUGGAUUCGCAGAUGAGGGACGAAGUAGUUUAGGUGGAGGAGUGGGACCCGUGGUAUGUGAGGAGUGUGGUAUGCCAUACACAAGACACAGGUGGCAGAGGGCUUGGGAGCGGUUGAACCAGUGGUUAGACAAGGUGUGGCGGUGGGUUUAGGGGAGCCG
rnacentral:lncRNA from 1 species